rnacentral:tmRNA from 1 species
GGGGCUGACCUGGUUUUGACAGCAAGGUAAAUGAUUGUGUAAGCAUGUCGGGCAAUGUGAAUAAUCCCGUAAAACUUUUUCGCAGACAAUUAACUGGCGCAGAUAAUUAUGCUUUCGCUGCUUAGUCGAAUUACAGUAGAUAGAGCUUAAUUCCGGCACAAGGUGUUGGAACGAAACAUCCCUCGAUUGGCCUGUCCGGUUCCGUUUCGGCAAAGGGGUGGCAAUAAAUACCGGAAUAGCUUUAACGAAUGCUUUGGCGUAAAAGCGAAAUUUUAAAAGAUAAGGUUAGAUUUUGGGUGUCUGUCCCCGGAAACUUUCCCUACAAUCAAUGGCAGAAUAAACAUGUAGAAAGCACCUUUGUUUCUUGUUUGGACCCGGGUUCGAUUCCCGGCAGCUCCACAA